GACGAACGCUGGCGGCGUGCCUAAUACAUGCAAGUAGAACGCAGUUGCGAACGGGUGAGUAACGCGUAGGUAACUGCCUCAUAGCGGGGGAUAAUCAUUGAAAACGAUAGCUAAUACCCCAUACUGUGAGAUGUACCUUCGUUGUAUUAGUUAGUUGGUGAGGCAAAUGUUCACCAAGGCGACGAUACAUAGCCGACCUGAGAGGGGUACCGGCCAAACUGGGACUGAGAAACGGGCCAGAAUCCUACGGGAGGCAGCAGGAGGGAAUCUUCGGAAAUGGACGGAAGUCUGAACGAGCAACUGCGGGGGAGAGAAGAAGGUUUUCGGAUCGUAAAGCUAUGUUGUUAGAGAAGCGGUAACUAAACAGAAAGGGACGGCUAACUACGUGCCAGCCGCCGCGGUAAUUC
rnacentral:rRNA from 1 species